rnacentral:rRNA from 1 species
CCUACGGGAGGCAGCAGUGAGGAAUAUUGGGCAAUGGAGGCAACUCUGACCCAGCCAUGCCGCGUGCAGGAAGACUGCCCUAUGGGUUGUAAACUGCUUUUAUACAGGAAGAAACACUCCCUCGUGAGGGAGCUUGACGGUACUGUAAGAAUAAGGAUCGGCUAACUCCGUGCCAGCAGCCGCGGUAAU